ACGGAGGGAUGGAUGAGGUUACCUGGAAAAAAAAUCGGGGCGAUCUAGGCGGGCGAACCUCGCCAACGAACGAUCGGACAUGGGAUAACGGAAGAGGGCGUCGGCUCGACUUCGUCGGUUCCUCGGGCCGAGGCACGUACGGUGAAUAGGGACGGUCGGGGCCGCCCGUACCGGGUCGUGAGAGGUGAAAUUCUAGGAUCGACCCGAGACGAACUGCCGCGAAAGCAUUCGGCAAGGACGCUUUCAUUAAUCAAGAACGAAAGUCGGGGGAUCGAAGACGAUCAGAUACCGUCGUAGUCCCGACCGUAAACGAUGCCGACCGAGGGCCCCGGAGGAGUUACGUACGACCCUCCGGGCCCUCCCGCGAGAAAUCAGGAGUAUUCGGGUUCCGGGGGGAGUAUGGUCGCAAGGCCGAAACUUAAAGGAAUUGACGGAAGGGC
rnacentral:rRNA from 1 species